UACGAAGGGUGCAAACGUUGCUCGGAAUCAUUGGGCGUAAAGCGCACGUAGGCGGCCUCAUAAGUCGGAUGUGAAAUCCCUCGGCUCAACCGAGGAAGUGCAUCCGAAACUGCGAGGCUCGAGUAUGGAAGAGGGUCGCAGAAUUCCCGGUGUAGAGGUGAAAUUCGUAGAUAUCGGGAGGAAUACCAGUGGCGAAGGCGGCGACCUGGGCCAAUACUGACGCUGAGGUGCGAAAGCGUGGGGAGCAAACAGGGAUUAGAA
rnacentral:rRNA from 1 species